GGAGUCUGGGCCGUAUCUCAGUCCCAAUGUGGCCGUUCAACCUCUCAGUCCGGCUACUGAUCGUCGCCUUGGUAGGCCGUUGCCCCACCAACUAGCUAAUCAGACGUGAGCCCAUCUAAUAGCGGAUUGCUCCUUUCCUCACUGCACCAUGUGGUGCUGUGAGCAUAUGCGGUAUUAGCAAUGAUUUCUCACUGUUAUUCCCCUCUACUAGGCAGGUUGCUCACGCAUUACUCACCAGUCCGCCACUAAAGCCAUUGCUAAAGAACUUCAAUCAGAUAAAUCUUCAAUCUUUUCUCUAGCGACUUCCGUUCGACUUGCAUGUCUUAUGUGCGCCGCCAGCGUUAUCCUCGAGCCAGGAGUCAAACUACU
rnacentral:rRNA from 1 species